UAUUGGAAUGCGCAUGCGCGCAGUCAGACACAUUAGCAGACGUAUUUUUGGUUUGUGAUUUCGUUGCAGACACGCCUUUGUUUUACUGCAGUGCGGCUAAGAUACUGUUUGGACAAGAGAAAGUAUUCUCAGAUUUCAAUCUAGCAUGAUUCUAUCAAUUGUUUGUAAAUAUCUGUACAAUCGGGAGACAAAACGAAGAAAAUAUUUUGCUUGCUUAUUAGCUACUUGAUAUUUUAUUUGCAAUUUUAUUUUGUUUUCAACUGUUAUUUAGGUUAUUUCUAUUAAAAAGUGUCAUUCUUAUCAAAUACAGAAUGUACUUGGCAGAAGACCAUUUUUAUGAUCACUUCCAUGCUGAAGAAUAUAAUGAUUUCAAGUUCUGGAGGGAACCAAUCAUGGAGAUCACUUUAGAAGAGUUAGAGGUUCCAGUGACGAAAAAGAAGGAUGAAGUUGUAGUUUCAACUGAAUUUGAUUCCUUCCUUUAUUGGAGGGAUCCAAUCCCGGAAAUAAAUGAACUGUAAAAUUUACAUGUUUUAUUAGGUAUUAUACUUAUUUAAUUAGUUAAUUAUAUUGAAAUAGAAUCAUUGGAUUACUUGUUGGUGAAUAAGUAAUAAUCUUAAAUGCUUCUACUGAUAUUUACAAUAUUCAAACUAUGAAAUGUUACAAAAACAAGCUAGUCUAUGUAAUAAUUUUAAAGAUUGUUGGCAUCACUUAAUAUUGAUUUAUUUCUGCUGCAAAGUUUAUUCUAUGUAUCAAACUAUUGGGCUUGUGAAUUAAAAUGUUAAUUUUUGCAUAAA